UGAAGACGACGAGGUAGAUAGGCUGGGGGUGGAAGUGCAGCAAUGCAUGGAGCUGACCAGUACUAAUCGGUCGAGGGCUUAUCCAA
rnacentral:rRNA from 1 species